rnacentral:rRNA from 1 species
GACGAACGCUGGCGGCGUGCUUAACACAUGCAAGUCGAACGAGAGCGUAGAGAAAGCUUGCUUUUUCUACAAUCUAGUGGCAAACGGGUGAGUAACGCGUAAACAACCUGCCCUACGGAUGGGGACAACAGCUGGAAACGGCUGCUAAUACCGAAUACGUUCCGAAAGUCGCAUGACUAUCGGAAGAAAGGAUGGCCUCUAUUUAUAAGCUAUCGCCGGAGGAGGGGUUUGCGUCUGAUUAGCUAGUUGGAGGGGUAACGGCCCACCAAGGCGACGAUCAGUAGCCGGUCUGAGAGGAUGAACGGCCACAUUGGAACUGAGACACGGUCCAGACUCCUACGGGAGGCAGCAGUGGGGAAUCUUCCGCAAUGGGCGAAAGCCUGACGGAGCAACGCCGCGUGAGUGAAGACGGCCUUCGGGUUGUAAAGCUCUGUUAUACGGGACGAAUAAUCUUGUGGUUAAUACCCAUGAGAAGUGACGGUACCGUAA